rnacentral:rRNA from 1 species
ACAAAGGUUUGGUCCUGACUUUUCUGCCAGCUCUAGCUAAACUUACACAUGCAAGUAUCCGCGCCCCCGUGAGAAUGCCCUAUAGUUCCCUGCCCGGGAACAAGGAGCUGGUAUCAGGCACAUUUAACAUGCCCACGACACCUUGCUCAGCCACACCCCCAAGGGUACUCAGCAGUGAUAAACAUUGACACAUAAGUGAAAACUUGACUCAGUUAAAGCUAAGAGGGCCGGUAAAACUCGUGCCAGCCACCGCGGUUAUACGGGAGGCCCAAGUUGUUAGAAAUCGGCGUAAAGGGUGGUUAAGAACAAGCUUAAAAUUAAAGCCGAACGCCUUCUAGGCUGUUAUACGCAUCCGAAGGUAAGAAGCCCAAUCACGAAAGUAGCUUUAUAUUUUCUGACCCCACGAAAGCUAAGAUACAAACUAGGAUUAGAUACCCUAUUAUA